rnacentral:rRNA from 1 species
UACAGAGGUCCCAAGCGUUGUUCGGAUUCAUUGGGCGUAAAGGGUGCGUAGGCGGCGCGGUAAGUCGGGUGUGAAAUCUCGGAGCUUAACUCCGAAACUGCAUUCGAUACUGCCGUGCUUGAGGACUGGAGAGGAGACUGGAAUUUACGGUGUAGCGGUGAAAUGCGUAGAUAUCGUAAGGAAGACCAGUGGCGAAGGCGGGUCUCUGGACAGUUCCUGACGCUGAGGCACGAAGGUCAGGGGGAGCAAAACGGGG